GACGAACGCUGGCGGCGUGCUUAACACAUGCAAGUCGAGCGGUAAGGCCCUUUCGGGGGUACACGAGCGGCGAACGGGUGAGUAACACGUGGGUGACCUGCCCUCAGCUCUGGGAUAAGCCUGGGAAACCGGGUCUAAUACCGGAUAUGACUCCAUGACGCAUGUUGUGGGGUGAAAGCCUUGUGCGGCUGAGGAUGGGCCCGCGGCCUAUCAGCUUGUUGGUGGGGUGAUGGCCUACCAAGGCGACGACGGGUAGCCGGCCUGAGAGGCGACCGGCCACACUGGGACUGAGACACGGCCCAGACUCCUACGGGAGGCAGCAGUGGGGAAUCUUGCGCAAUGGGCGAAAGCCUGACGCAGCGACGCCGCGUGAGGGAUGACGGCCU
rnacentral:rRNA from 1 species